UGUGUAGCUCAGUGGUUGAACACUUGCCUUACAUGCAUGAGGCACUGAGUUCAAUUCUCAGUUACAA
rnacentral:tRNA from 1 species